rnacentral:misc_RNA from 1 species
UAUCUGGUGCGCUCUAAGGGCA